rnacentral:tRNA from 1 species
CCCCGAUGGCUCAGCAGGUAGAGAAUCUGCCUGCAAUGCAGGAGGUACAGGUUCGAUCCCUGGGUCAGGGA